rnacentral:rRNA from 1 species
UAUUGGUCAAUGGUCGGGAGACUGAACCAGCCAAGCCGCGUGAGGGAAGAAGGUACAGCGUAUCGUAAACCUCUUUUGCCGGGGAACAAGAGCUUCCACGAGUGGGAGUGUGAGCGUACCCGGAGAAAAAGCAUCGGCUCACUCCGUGCCAGCAGCCGCGGUACUACGGAGGAUGCGGGCGUUAUCCGGAUUUAUUGGGUUUAAAGGGUCCGCGGGCGGUCGGUGAAGUCAGCGGUCAAAGCCCGGGGCUCAACCCCGGCCCGCCGUUGAAACUGGCAGUCUCGAGUUGGAGAGAAGUAUGCGGAACGCGAGGUGUAGCGGUGAAAUGCAUAGAUAUCGCGCAGAACUCCGAUUGCGAAGGCAGCAUGCCGGCUCCACACUGACGCUGAGGCACGAAAGCGUGGGUAUCGAACAGGA